UUUUGGAAUUUUAGGCUAUUGUACAUUCUAGGAAAAUCUUUCUAUUAAAUUUGUUGUAUUUAAAUGAUCAUUUUUGGAACAUCUUUUCUGGGCGAUUUAGAUGAAUUCUCCAAUACCCAUUCAAAAUUUCCAAGUCUUUGAAAAAUCUGCCAUAUAGACUGAUUCAAAUCAGUGUUAGCUGUUUUUUAUUUUCUGUUAGGGGAUUACCAACAAAAAACUUUAUUAUCGUUAGCUACCAUUUUUGAAGCGCCUCUCUCCGCGAUUCACUGGCAGCUUUUACAUUUGUGUUGGGUGUUCUGUUAGAAUUGUGCUUGCUCAUGCGAAAUGCAACAAAGUGCAAAAAACAACAAUUGCCCUGGGGUCAAUGAAAUAAAACGCAAUUGCUGUACCCUCCUCCAGCUACAGCUAUAGCUCCAGAUUCAGUUGCAAAGGUAAGCGGAAUUAUAAGCACUGCCGGCAGAGAGCGAAAGAGCGUGUAACGAGAGAGCAGUAAUAGCACUGAUCGGAGCGCAAAGCGCAGAAAAGACAACGCUGAGUGCUGAACGAGAGAGGCUGAUUGACGAUUACCAACAAGCUCACAAACACACACAUACACACACACAAGAAGGCAAACAAACCGGCGAUGCGAAGCAAAGCAAAGCAAAAGCAGUGAAGGCAGCAGACACGCGAAACGGUUAGCCAUUCAGUGUGACAGUGAACGUCGUACGGUCGUUGUGUUAUGGCAGCAGACGCAACAGAAGCAAAAAA